rnacentral:lncRNA from 1 species
AAAAAAGAACCAAAAUAGUGUGUUUUGAUACUAUCCCUAAAACCUUAGUAGUCACAAAGUUGAUUGUCAACCCUUUCUCUUUAUCUUCUUGAAUAGUAAACCUAGAGCCUCCGCACUCCAUAGUCAUGAGAUCGCCACCGCACCUAGGUUUGCAACUUGCCGCCACACUUGGCUCUACAACUUGCACCUGAUUCUCAUUUCUGGUGGUGAGUUCUCCUCCACCGAUGAGCUCACACCUAGUUCUCAUUUCUGGUGGUGAAUUCUCCUUCACCCACAAGCUCUAACUUUGUUUUCUUCUUCUGCUUUUAUGAAUUAGUCCUCUUGUUUUUGUCAUGCUCCACUCUUGUUCUCUGAAUCUCAUGCUUAUUUACAAUUCAAUUGGUAUCUGACAUUUUUCUAUUGCAAAUCUUUGUAAAUUCAUUAAUGUAAUGCACUGUUAUCUAUUCUUGUAGUAACUGUUAUCUAAGUUAAUGGUGUUAAGAAUAUGAAAUUAGUAAAUUCACUUAGUUUAGUUCAUUG